GAGACUGCUAUAAACCCAGUUUACUAAACAUGGUUAUAUACUGAGUUCAUAGCGGCAUUAAUAUAAAGGAGUUGACAUUCUAGGCAGCAUUCAAAGAUCACAUCUACCUCACGUAAUCACUAACGUCAUCAAUUCCUCGCUGACGUCACAAUGUCUCUAUUCAAGAAGGCGAGCACGUUGUUUAUGAAGUGGUACGACAAGGCGCGGGCGAUCAUGCAGAUGUUUACCCCUAUCCCGCUUCCAGACCCCAUCAGGAUGGUGCACAGAAUAUACAAGAAAAUAAUGGAAUAGCAGUGUUAUAAUUACGGAAUCGGACUACUUUCAUGCUGUUGAAAUGUUCAGAAUUGCGGACUGACCUUUAUUUUCCCUAUUUGUUCACAUGUUUUGUUCCUAAGUAGAAGAGCAAGCGUUGCAUGUUCCAAAUAGGAUGCUAUUACGAAUUAGCAAAUUAUGUUGGUGUAUACACAGUCAUUUGAUAGGAAUGAACUACUGCUUUGGUGUCAUAUGACCUGAAAUACAUUUAGUGACAUUUAACCUAAAAAUAAAAUUCUUCAGAUUUAUCAAAGCAGGGGUUAAUUCCUAUCAAAUGACUGUGAGUGUAUAUGUAUUAAACAGUCAUAAUGUUCUGUUGUUAGCCAUGAUCUUCAUACACAGCCACGUUUGUAUUUUACCAUAACUGACAUUGAUACGUACCUCACUCAGCGUUCAUUCCAAACAUGUACAUGAGAGAUAUACAGUAUGUUUACUUACCAUGCUUAUCGUUUAUGUCAACUGCCCAUGUCACUGUAUACAAUGUGAGACGGUACACGUAACGUCAACGUUGAUAAUGUACGUUAAUCAUACAUACGUGUUUAGUUUCAUUCACAUACUUACGUACGCUGUACCUUUACUUUUAUAAACUGUAUUUUUACGAAAGUUGGUGACCAUGGUGUCUUCAUUGCUUUCAAUACAAUAAAACAAACAAAAUCAAA